rnacentral:tRNA from 1 species
GCAUAGAAGGAUAGCCCAGUUGGGAGAGCAGGAGACUCUUAAUCUCAGGGUUGUGGGUUUGAGCCCCACAUUGGGCA